rnacentral:lncRNA from 1 species
AAGGAUUGUACAUACGCAAAUAAAGUCAAAUUACGCAUUUGAAGAUUGUACAUAAGCAAAAAAAGCAACCUUCUACCGUAUCUAAGGAUGCUAUUGAGCAAUACGACUCUCUUCCAUAUCAAAAGUUGUGUACCAACAAGGAGGAUGCCCCACCACAGAUCAAAGAAUGUACAUAAACAAAGCAAUACUCCAUCAUAUCGGAGAAUC